rnacentral:rRNA from 1 species
AUGGACGGCGCCGCUUCUCCAACUGGAUCGACGGAUGCACGCAGCGUCACCUCGGGCCUCCGGGCCCUCGCCCCUGCCUUGCGGCAAGUACGGUGGCCGCGCAAGUUCAAGCCGGAGAUGCCGCCUCGCUAUGAAGGCGCGGCGGAUCCAGCGGCCUUCCUGCUGGCGUAUGAGGAGGCCGUUCUGGAGGCCGGGGGCGACGACAAGGUCAUGGCCAAUUGGUUCCCCCUGGCCCUCGCUGGCCUGCCGCGCGCCUGGCUUCUCAACCUGUCGGGAUCCUCUGUGGCCUCCUGGGAGGAGCUGCGCGACCUCUUCGUCGCGCGCUUCGCGGGACCAGCGCCCCUCGCCGUCGCAGCCCUCCUCGGUGGCUCACAGGCACCGCCCUCAGAUCGCCACGUCAAGCAGUUCUUUCGCCAAAUGGGCGCCGCCCGUGUGCAGCAGGGGGCUCCUCCGGGAUGGGCGGCACCCAAGGCCGACCUCACCUUCGACUCGAGGGACCAUCCAGCAACCACCGCGGGCUCGGGCGCUCUCCCGAUGCUUUGCACGCCCACCAUCUGCAACGUGGCGGUCACCAAGACCCUCAUCGACGAUGGAGCUGGCCUCAACGUGCUCUCGAUGGAAGCUUUUAGCUUGCUCCACGUGCCGCACGAACGGCUACGCCCCACCAAGCCCUUCUCUGGAGUCGGCGGCGGUUCCACCAGCCCCCUAGGGCAGAUCCGCCUCCCAGUCACCUUCGGUACCCGCGACAACUACCGAACCGAGCUCAUCGACUUCGACAUCGCUCGCAUCAGCCUCCCGUACAACGCCAUCCUCGGGUACCCUGCCUUGGCUCAGUUCAUGGCAGCGACCCAUCCAGCCUACAACCUCAUGAAGAUGCCGGGAAGCAGAGCCGUACUCACCGUAGCCGGGAACACCAAAGAAGCCCUGACGGCCCUCAGGCUCACCUUCAGGGCCACCGCGGCGGCACGCCAGGCCGAUGGAGCCGCCCCGGGGGCAAAAGGGGCUGCACCAGCGAAGAAGCAGUUGUUCACUCAAGAUCGGGCCAAGACGAAGCAAGUACCGGUCGAGGAGGACGGGGCCUCGGGCACCACCUUCACCAUAGGCGCCGGCCUCGACCCGGACCAAGAAGAAGCAUUGGUGAAAUUCCUGCCCGCGAACAAGGAAGUAUUCGCCUGGGAGCCCAAGCAGCUGGUGGGGGUCCCAAGGGGGGUAAUUGAACAUCACUUAAGAGUGUGCCCCAAUGUGCGCCCUGUGAAGCAGAAGGCGCGACGACAGUCCACGGAGAAGCAGUCCUUCAUCGUUCAAGAAACCCGCAAGCUAGAAGCAGCGGGUGUCAUCCGCGAAGUCCGGUACCCGGAGUGGCUGGCGAACCCCGUCGUCGUGCCCAAGAAAGGCGGAAAGGAGCGUAUGUGCGUCGACUUCACCAACCUCAACAAGGCCUGCCCUCAAGACCCGUUCCCGCUCCCGCGUAUAGACCAGAUCGUCGACUCCACCGCUGAUUGCGACCUGCUGUGCUUCCUAGAUGCUUUCUCGGGUUACCACCAGAUCAAGAUGGCGGUGGAGGACGUGGAAAAGACGGCCUUCUUGACCCCAUGUGGGGUGUACUGCUACACCUGCAUGCCGUUCGGACUGCGCAACGCCGGAGCAACCUUCCAACGACUGAUGCACAUCGCCCUGGGACAGCAGCUCAGGAGGAACGCUGAAGCCUACGUCGACGACAUCGUGGUAAAGUCUCGGGAGGCGAAGACCCUCAUUCAGGACCUAGAGGAGACUUUUGCCAGCCUGCGCCAAGUGGAUCUGCGGCUCAACCCGGAGAAGUGCGUGUUCGGCGUCCCCUCCGGCAAGCUGCUAGGCUUCCUCGUGUCGCACAGGGGGAUCGAGGCUAAUCCGGAGAAAGUCAAGGCAAUAGAAGACAUGAGCCCGCCGCAAACUCUCAAGGAAAUGCAAAAGCUCGCAGGCUGCGUGACCUCGCUGGGGCGCUUUAUCUCCAAGCUGGGGGAGCGCGCCCUGCCGUUCUUCAAGUUGAUGAAGAAAGGCCCGUUCGAGUGGACCCCGGAGGCCGACCUGGCGUUUCAAGACCUCAAGAGGUACCUGACCAGCCCACCGGUGAUGGUAGCGCCUCGUCCCCUCGAGCCCCUGGUGCUCUACCUUGCCGCCACGCCUCAUUCCGCCAGCGCGGCGCUGGUGGCUGUCCGGGAGGAGCGCCAGACCAAGGACCUGCUACGCGGCGCCGCAUCUUCGGUGGAGCUGACGCGGGCACCAAGACGGCGCCCCUAA